ACAUUCUAAGUACAUGUGAGUACAAGAAACCGCGCAAAGCUCAUUACAACAGCUAAAAUCUAUUCGGUGAGAUUCCAUUAAAUGGAUAUUUGCGGUAAAUUUGGAGGUAAUACCUGCCAUGAAAAUUUAUACAAUUAUGGUAUACGAUUGGCAGUUAUUAGAUUAAAACCAAUGGGCUUUGCCCAUAUAUGUUAACUUUAGAUAAUGCGUUACCAUACAGAUUAAUUUUUGAUGGAAUGCCGUAUUUGUAUUUGCCCUAUUAACUAUAUAACCGUGUAUUGAACGGUUAUGGUGUUGCCGGGUAACGGAGAAUUAGGGUUUGUUUCCGGAGAGAAUGCCUUAAAAACGGCUUUCACAUCCAAGGAAGGCAGCCGGCGGGAAAAUUACCCCCUUUCAGUGGGAGGAGGUAGUGACGUGAAAUGACAAGUUCCCUUUUUUAUAGGAUGGAACCUUGGAAUGGUUUAAUUUUAAAUCCCUUAAAGAUUAUCAAUGAGAGGGCAAGUUUGGUGCCAGCAGCCGCGGUAAUUCCAGCUUUCAUAAUGCCUUGAAUUGCUGUUGCGGUUAAAAAGUUUGUAGUUGCAAGUGUACGGAGUGGGAUGGUUUAAUUUUUUGUUGAUACUACUCCUACCGUUAAAGGGUUAUAUGGUUAAUACCCGUAUACCCUAGUUACUUUGAGUAAAUCAGAGUGCUUAGAACAAGCGUAUUGCUUGAAUGGUUGUGCAUGGAAUAACAAUACAAUGCAUUGAUAUUUGUUUUGUUGGUUUUAAUGUCAAUGAAUGAUUAAAAGGAACAAACGGGGGCAAAAGUAUCAUAAGGCGAGAGGUNAAAUUCGUGGACCCUGAGNAAGGU
rnacentral:rRNA from 1 species